UACGGGGGGAGCAAGCGUUGUUCGGAUUUACUGGGCGUAAAGGGCGCGUAGGCGGCCACCGCAAGUCAAUUGUGAAAUCUCCGGGCUUAACUCGGAAAGGUCAACUGAUACUGCGGGGCUAGAGUGCGGAAGGGGCAACUGGAAUUCUCGGUGUAGCGGUGAAAUGCGUAGAUAUCGAGAGGAACACCUGCGGCGAAGGCGGGUUGCUGGGCUGACACUGACGCUGAAGUGCGAAAGCUAGGGGAGCGAACGGG
rnacentral:rRNA from 1 species